rnacentral:rRNA from 1 species
UACGGAGGGUGCGAGCGUUGUCCGGAAUCACUGGGCGUAAAGGGCGCGUAGGCGGCGGGGUAAGCGUGCGGUGAAAGCUCGGGGCUCAACCCCGAGUCGGCCGUGCGAACUGCCCUGCUUGAGCACUGUAGAGGCAGGUGGAAUUCCGGGUGUAGCGGUGGAAUGCGUAGAGAUCCGGAAGAACACCAGUGGCGAAGGCGGCCUGCGUGGGCAGUGGCUGACGCUGAGGCGCGACAGCGUGGGGAGCAAACAGG